AGUUAUGCGUCAAAGAUUCUAUUUCCUUGAGCAUAUCAUGGGUUUCUUGUGUUGUAUUCCAAUAGGAAGGUAUCGGUUUUGGAUGAUAGAAGUCCUUUUUCAUCUUGUUUUGUGUUUUUAUUCAAGAUGAACUUAGAAGUUGUCUCGAUGUUCCAUUUUGUCAAUGUAAAUGCAUUGUUGAUGUGGUCUGUUGAGUGUUGCUUGGUAUUAUGGAUAUGGUACAUUAAAUAGGUGUUGGGUCUCUUAAGUCUCUAACAUCGUCCAUGUUAAGUGUUCUUUAAAACGACAGUCCAUGCGCGCCUAGGCUCGUACCUGCGUGAUGGGCUUUGUCAAGGAGGAAUGCUACCUGGUUGAUCCUGCCAGUAGUCAUAUGCUUGUCUCAAAGAUUAAGCCAUGCAUGUGUAAGUA
rnacentral:misc_RNA from 1 species